rnacentral:rRNA from 1 species
UGCGUAGGCGGGUUUCUAAGUCAGAGGUGAAAGCCUGGAGCUCAACUCCAGAACUGCCUUUGAUACUGGAAGUCUUGAGUUCGGGAGAGGUGAGCGGAACUGCGAGUGUAGAGGUGAAAUUCGUAGAUAUUCGCAAGAACACCAGUGGCGAAGGCGGCUCACUGGCCCGAUACUGACGCUGAGGCACGAAAGCUGGGGAGCAAACA